rnacentral:lncRNA from 10 species
CAGGGCUUUUCAGGCUGCCAAGAGAGAAUGCUUGUGGGUGGGUGGUAGAACAAAAAGGCAAAGGGAACAACGCAAGCCCAUUUCCAAGGAGGGGCGAGAAAUAAGCGACAAAGAAGAUGCCCUCAGAUAUGUGAUGUAUCAGUGGCUGUUCUGGUGGUGACACCAUCUGUAUUAAGUGAGCUACCUACAGAUAAGGAAUAAAGUCGUGGCUGGCAUGAGCAGUGAGCCGUGAAGGAACCUCUUCUGCAAAUGUGUCAGAGGCCCUUCCUGGAGCCAAUGACUCUCCUGAAAGAAAGCACUCUGGGUUCCCCACCUACUCUGUCAUCUUGGCAGCUGGCAGCAACUCAUUCUGCACCACAAAAUAUGAAGAAAUUUGGAGGAGGAGGAAAAGUCUUACCAGUAAAUAUAACCAAGGCAUCAGCAAAAUGAUGAAACUGAUAUAUAGCUGUUUUCCUCUUGCAAAAGACUUUUUCAUCUGACAAGAUACACACGAUAGAUGAAAACAUUAAAUGUGAAAAAUAUGUAAGUAGCAGGUGCUGAGCUUUGUAUAAUGAGUUGUGUGUUCAUUUCUUCUUGAAGGUGAGAAACAGUUCAACCACAGCUGGGGUGGGUGGAGAAACAUAAUUCUUGGUGAUGUAUAGUGAAAAUCAUAGCCCACCAGCUCAGCCAUACAGCACUUGAAGAGGUCAUGAUUAUGAAGGGCCGCACACAAGAGCCAGAUGUAUACCAGUGACAAGGAAUACGCAUUUUCUUCAGAUGUCACAAGUCCUCUUUUUCAUUGUUGAGUAAUGACUAUAACAGCAUCACUUAGUUCAACCAACAGUAUCUGUGAUGGGGCAGAAGAAAACCUCAAGACAGUAUUAGUGUUCAAAUAACACGAGUUUCACAAACACCCAGAACAGUUUCUUUUUUGCAAUGAUUCAUAGGUGAUUUAAAAAAAAAAAAAAAAAAACUGUAAGACAAUUUCCUGUGGUGAAUUUAAAACCAUAGCUUUUGAAUUCUUGAAAAACAAUGCUUUCAAGUUGGCCAUCUCUAUGAUGCUGGUCAUCUUGGUGUUUAGGUGUUCAGAGCCAUUAAACUACAACAAAGCACAUAAAUAUAAAGUGACAAAAAGAGUCCUUGCCUGUCUCUCCGAGCCAGCAGCUUCUCAUCGGGAAUAACGGUUUCAGAGGGGAGGGUUAGAAGAUUCCUUAGAUAGAUUCAUGGUGGCUUCCAGAUGGCUGAUACAAAAGCCAGAGGGAGGCUUGGGUAGGCAGUCAUUUGAUAGCUGGUUUAUGACGAGGAUAGCAAAAUGAAUUUCCAGAUAUAUUUCCAACUAGAGGCCUUAGAAUCUCUCACCCAGGGUUUCUGUUGUAAAUUAAAAUUGGUAUUCAUGACAAUGUGCCUUCUAAUACGACAUAUUAUGGAGGCAAUCAUACCAAGC